rnacentral:lncRNA from 1 species
UUUUUUAAUAAGUAUGUUUUUGUGCUGACAAUUUUAGUGUGACCGGUUUAAUGUUCCGGAUAAAAUUUGCGCUCGAUUUCUAUUUUUUAAUUGGUCAAUAAUUUUUGGUUUAGUUAAAAAUCUUUGGUUUAGUUAUUUAAUUAAAAAAUUAAAAUUUGUUUGAAUUAAAUAUUAGUUAGAAUUUGUUUUUAUGAUUUAUUUUCUUAAAUAAAUAAUAAGUAUAAAAUAAAUAUGUAUAUAUUUACAUUGGAUCCUUUUUAUUUUUAUAUAAAAAAAAACAAGUAAAAUAAAAAAAAAAGGGAGGAAUCCGAAGGGGAUCCACUCCCAACGGUCUGCACACGCGUCUCUCACGUAUUCACUCAUCCCCUCACAAAAUCUACAAAAAAAAUCUCAAGAUCUCUCUCCUCCUCACCACUCACAAAAAGGAUUCCUCACCUCACUCACUCUCGGAUUUCCCUGACGCCAACUCAUUCACUCUCUCACAUUACUAAUUCUCUCACCACUCUCAAAAAUCCAAAAAGAAGAAAAAAUCUCUCGUCUCUCUCUGCAAACCCAGGGAAAGAGAAGAAAUAAUCUCUCUUCACUCUCAAAAACCCUCGCCGUCACUCUCGUUCUCCACCAUCAGCCGCCAUCUCAUCUUCUUCCUUCCGCCACCCCUUCACGCCGCUAUCCACUAAACACCACAAACCCCUUUUCCAUCACU